rnacentral:lncRNA from 1 species
AAAAGAGAUAUAGCAAUGGGUUCCAUGAGUGUUAGGGUCUGUACAGAAGAGGCAGCAGGACUUUUUUUUUUUUUUUUUUUUUUUUCAGCAAGACUUCUAAUGGGGAGAACCUAUUUAAUGGUUAGAGAACUAUAGAUCCAGCCACAGUCUUGGGAACUGCUGCAAAAAUGCUGGUGUGCAGAGAUGCUGUGGAGCCACCUGCCUUUGAAUAGACCAUAUGCAUUUAUACGAUGCACAUCCCAGUGGCAACCAUGAUAGACUUAAGACCAGAGGUUAUUUUCUAAGUGUUUUGGGUUUUUUUGGGGGGUGGGUGGAGAGUUGUUUUGUUGGUCAAUGUAUAUAAUUCUAAAGAAGAAAAAAGCUCCCCCCUGCCACAUCAUGAUUUAAUAUUGGACAUCUUCCAACACUAGUAAAUGAGAUUUUUGAACCAGAUUUAAUUUAGAAAAAUUAAGUAACGUGAUGUAUCUUGUUCCUCAGUGUUGUGGAACAAAUUUAUACUCCAACAUUUAUAACUCCAUUUAAUCUUUACAACUCUUUGAAGUAGGUAUUGCUACUUUUUUCACAUAAAUGGAAACUGAGGCACAGAGAAGUUAAUAUAUAUUAUAUAUUAAUAUAUUAAUACAUAUAAAUUAUUAAUUUAUAAACACACAGAGCUAUCCCAGAAGGCAGGGCCAGAGUUUGAGAACCCCCUUGCAUUGUGAUGAAUUAUUUGGAUAUGAGUGACAGAAAAUAAAAUCCAACAGGUAUAAGCAAAACGUGUAUAUAUUGACUCAUAUCUGAAUAGUCCAGGAUUAGGGCUGGUUGGCUUGAGGUAGUAGGGUUCAUUCGGGGACUCAUUCCAAUGUCAUCAGGAUUCAAUUUCUAUUUCUUGGCUCUCUUCUGUGCUGACUUUAUUCUCAGGUUUUGUGUCCUAGCAGGUUCAAGUGAAGCUGAAAAUGUGGUGGUGUUCUGACAACAUUGUGCUUAUGGAUUCUAGUUGGUCGUGAAUCUAUCCCUGAACUCCUGAACUGCUCACAGGUCAGAGUCAUACUGUACUUGCACAUGGACUGAGACUAAAGAAGCCCGGAUUUGGUGGUAGUCCCUUCACAGGAAAUAGACAUGCUGUUUUCAGAAAAGUGUAUGCAUAUUUAUUUUGUAUCAAAACAAAAUAAAACAAAAUAGAUGUCCACUAUGGCCCUCUCUAACUUCUCCAUUCUGUUUUCUGGUUCAGCCAUGCCAUUACCAUUUUAGGAUCUAAGACUUAAGUUGAAGUGUAAUUGCAGAUCCUCUGAAGAUUGGGGAAGGGGCUGGAUGGACCCAGGGCAGCAUCUUAAAGAGGGGGAAUCUAUGGGAUAUCUAAACAUCUGAGUGUAUAGCCGAUUUAGUGACUCUCAAUUCCUAGACCUUUUCAUCUUAGAGUCCUUUACCUUGGCUCCAAUCCAGCUAUGGCCAUAUCCGAAGCCUCAUCAUUAGGAACUAUUCUGUCUUCUGAAAUAGUUUGGCAUCCCACCCUCUGACUUCAACCUCUAGAUUUGUCCAAGAGAUGCCAGUUCUUCAGCCUUGUUAGGACAUCUAUUCCACUUUCUCCUUGUCCAUCAACAACCUCUUGCCUUCAUUUCCUCCUUCUCUAUGCUAGACUUCAAGGUCCAUCACUUAAUCGCAUCCUAAAUACUUCUCAGUUCUUCCUUUCAUCAUUUUUACCUGGCAAAA